rnacentral:rRNA from 1 species
GCAUAUCAAUAAGCGGAGGAAAAGAAACCAACAGGGAUUGCCCUAGUAACGGCGAGUGAAGCGGCAACAGCUCAAAUUUGAAAUCUGGCGCAAGCCCGAGUUGUAAUUUGUAGAGGAUGCUUCUAGGUAGCGACCGGUCUAAGUUCCUUGGAACAGGACGUCAUAGAGGGUGAGAAUCCCGUAUGUGACCGGCCCGCACCUUCUACGUAGCUCCUUCGAAGAGUCGAGUUGUUUGGGAAUGCAGCUCUAAAUGGGAGGUAAAUUUCUUCUAAAGCUAAAUACCGGCCAGAGACCGAUAGCGCACAAGUAGAGUGAUCGAAAGAUGAAAAGCACUUUGGAAAGAGAGUUAAAAAGCACGUGAAAUUGUUGAAAGGGAAGCGCUUACAACCAGACUUCUGGGCGGUGUUCCGCCGGUCUUUUGACCGGUCUACUCUCCGUCCCGAGGCCAACAUCAUCUGGGACCGCUGGAUAAGACCUUAGGAAUGUAGCUUCCCUCGGGAAGUGUUAUAGCCUCUGGUGAUGCAGCGCGUCUCGGGUGAGGUCCGCGCUUCGGCAAGGAUGUUGGCGUAAUGGUUGUCAGCGGCCCGUCUUGAAACACGGACCAAGGAGUCUAACAUCUAUGCGAGUGUUCGGGUGUCAAACCCCUACGCGUAAUGAAAGUGAACGGAGGUGGGAAGCGCAAGCUGCACCAUCGACCGAUCCUGAUGUCCUCGGAUGGAUUUGAGUAAGAGCAUAGCUGUUGGGACCCGAAAGAUGGUGAACUAUGCCUGAAUAGGGUGAAGCCAGAGGAAACUCUGGUGGAGGCUCGCAGCGGUUCUGACGUGCAAAUCGAUCGUCAAAUUUGGGUAUAGGGGCGAAAGACUAAUCGAACCAUCUAGUAGCUGGUUCCUGCCG